AGCUUUAUAGUCCUGUGACUCCAACUCUGCAGGACUCAGACCCGUCAGUCCACCACAACCACCAUGACUCUCAUCACCAUCCUCAUCUGGACGCUGGCCUGCUGCAGCUUCACAGGAUGCAGCGGCCAGAUGACUGUGACUCAGCCUCCAGUCGUGACAUUUACUCCAGGAUCCACUGUCACGCUGACCUGUAACACCAACCCCAGUGUUUAUAGGGAUAGAAGUGGUGAUGAUUAUACGUCCUGGUACCAGCAGAAACCUGGACAGGCUCCACAGCUCCUAAUAUACUGGGCGAACAGGAUACAAUCAGGAACACCAGCUCGGUUUAGUGGAAGUGGAAGCAGAUCUGACUUCACCUUAACCAUCAGCGGUGUUCUGGCUGAAGAUGUUGGAGAUUAUUACUGUCUUGGUAGUGUUGGCGAUGGAAAGUUCACACAUUGA